UCCGUGGAGCCGUGGUCUGGUAAAUCCCCGACCCCAUCCCCGACAUUCAUUCAUUUCUCCACCAGCCCCAUUCACCCCAACUGCGGGCGCGGGGCCACGGCGAUCUGAGGUCGUCGCCGGCGGCGUGCUCAGGGCCGCCAGCUCCGAUUGCCAUGUCGAGGAGAAGGCUUCUUAGGUCCGCGUUCCGGAUCCAUUGCAGGCCUCAGGCGACGCAGCCGUGGUGACGACCCCUGCCCUGGUUCCUGUCCUCACCAACCUCCGGUUUCGCAUGGCCGGUAACCAGGAUUGCUUCCUAAUUUCCUAUCCAUGGGAUCGAUUCGGACGAGGCGUUGCAGGAGAGCUGCUCGGCAUAGGCGUUGCAGGAGAGCUGCUCGGCAUAGGUGUCGUAUUUUGAGGUUCUUUUGACUCUGAAUUUUAGUUCUGAGAUUUAUUUUUGUUUUAUUAACUCGCAAUUUGAAAUAAUGCAGUGAAGAAAACACAGCAGCAAGUUUACUGUUUUGACAUAUUAGCAAAACAUUGAACUUUCAGUGCUCAAUUUAGUGCUAUGGAGCCAUGGAGGCAGCAAUUUUACUGUUUUUAGUGCUAUGGAGCAAUGUACUUUCAGUGCUUCUUAUUUUUAUACUAACUGACCUGCAAUUUAGUGCUAUGGAGCCAUGAAGGCAGCAAUUUUAGUGCUAUGGAGCCAUGAAAAUCAGUGCUUGGCAAGUUGGUAAGAUGGAACAGCAAGAAGGACAACUGAUAUGUCGACAAACCCUGGCCGAGUCCCUGGCUAAUGUAGUCACUAAACAAAUCUUGAAGGAGAUGAAGGCCCUCAAAGUAGAGAUCGCCAACCUCAAAGAACAGAUGGGCAACCUGUGAUGCAGUUGCUGUUCAAGACUUUUGCUGAUGUACAGAUGACCACCUUAUAUAUGUUAGUAGCUGCAGUUAUAAAUGUUAGUUGGACUAUGUAACCAGGUUAAAAUAGGUGUGACAAACUUGUAGUAGUAAUGCACUUGUGCUUGCUUAUCUAUGUAUGAACAGAUGACCAUGCAUGUAAUGAUGUAUGAACAGAUGGCUAUCAAUGGAAUGGACUUGUACACAGAA